GUCAGUCCUGCUCCCCGAGCCUGUGUCUCUCUGUCCCCUGCCCAGAGGAAGGGGGAAGCCAGGGGCCCAUUUGGGGGCCCAGCCCCCAAUCCCACCCAGCAGAGGAAGCCAAGGUCGGGGCAGCUGUGAUUGCUCCCUGGUCCUGGAGAGGAAACUGGCCAUCUGCUUUAUCUGAAGAUUUUCAGCUGAUGAAGAACUAGGAGGCUCAAACACUAUCUUACCUGAGUCCAGGACAAGUGACUUGGAGAGUGUGCUCUUCUGUGGCAGGAUCAGGUCUGUCUAGGGCAGGAUGGCCCAGGAUCUCAGCGAGAAGGACCUGUUGAAGAUGGAGGUGGAGCAGCUGAAGAAAGAAGUGAAAAACACAAGAAUUCCGAUUUCCAAAGCGGGAAAGGAAAUCAAGGAGUACGUGGAGGCCCAAGCAGGAAACGAUCCUUUUCUCAAAGGCAUCCCUGAGGACAAGAAUCCCUUCAAGGAGAAAGGUGGCUGUCUGAUAAGCUGAUGGCAUGGAGCCCUGCCCUGAGUGUCUGUCCCUCUUCAGCCAAGCCCAAGUCUCCUAGACCCCCAGGGAGCCAGUGAACUGUCACCUUCUCUUCAUCACAGAAUGAGUAAAGAUCCCUGAACAAAUGCAUUGUGAACCCAUUCCCCACUCCCACCUUCAACUCUUUUCUCCCAUUAUUUCCUCCACCUGCUGGGUCUCUGCUGACCUUGCUGGGAACACUCUGAGGACAGUGUGGCUGGCCGAGCGGUUGGCCCCAUGGGUGGUGGGGUGUGAGAAGCCUGCAAUACCCCAAGACCCCAGAGGGCAGUCCUUAGGAAGCACUUACACCACCUGGGAACCCCUCCGUCUUUUCCCUCUACUCUCAUCCUAGGAAUAAAGCAUUUCCACGCC
rnacentral:lncRNA from 1 species